CUUUUGCAAGUCAUAAAACCACUAGUGAAUAAGGGGUGGGCAAGUUCUGGUGUCAGCCGCCGCGGUAAAACCAGCACCUCAAGUGGUCAGGAGGAUUAUUGGGCCUAAAGCAUCCGUAGCCGGCUCUGUAAGUUUUCGGUUAAAUCCAUGUGCUCAACGCAUGGGCUGUCGAAAAUACUGCAUAGCUAGGGAGUGGGAGAGGUAGACGGUACUCGGUAGGAAGGGGUAAAAUCCUUUGAUCUAUCGAUGACCACCUGUGGCGAAGGCGGUCUACCAGAACACGUUCGACGGUGAGGGAUGAAAGCUGGGGGAGCAAACCGGAUUAGAUACCCGGGUAGUCCCAGCUGUAAACGAUGCAGACUCGAUGAUGCAUUGGCAUAUAGCCAGUGCAGUGUCGCAGGGAAGCCGUUAAGUCUGCCGCCUGGGAAGUACGUACGCAAGUAUGAAACUUAAAGG
rnacentral:rRNA from 1 species